rnacentral:rRNA from 1 species
UAACCAUUGGAAACGAUGGCUAAUACCGCAUAAUGCCUACGGGCCAAAGAGGGGGANCUUCGGACCUCUCGCGUCAAGAUAUGCCUAGGUGGGAUUAGCUAGUUGGUGAGGUAAUGGCUCACCAAGGCGACGAUCCCUAGCUGGUCUGAGAGGAUGAUCAGCCACACUGGAACUGAGACACGGUCCAGACUCCUACGGGAGGCAGCAGUGGGGAAUAUUGCACAAUGGGCGAAAGCCUGAUGCAGCCAUGCCGCGUGUAUGAAGAAGGCCUUCGGGUUGUAAAGUACUUUCAGUUGUNANNAAGGGNGUNNNGUUAAUAGCNNNNNNUCUUGACGUUAGCAACAGAAGAAGCACCGGCUAACUCCGUGCCAGCAGCCGCGGUAAUACGGAGGGUGCGAGCGUUAAUCGGAAUUACUGGGCGUAAAGCGCAUGCAGGUGGUUCAUUAAGUCAGAUGUGAAAGCCCGGGGCUCAACCUCGGAACUGCAUUUGAAACUGGUGAACUAGAGUGCUGUAGAGGGGGGUAGAAUUUCANGUGUAGCGGUGAAAUGCGUAGAGAUCUGANNGAAUACCAGUGGCGAANGCNGNCCCCUGNACAGACACUGACACUCAGAUGCGANAGCGUGNGGAGCANACANGAUUAGAUACNCUGNUAGUCNACGCCGUANACGAUGUCUACU